AAAAGCCCUGUGGUGAAACGUGCCCUGGUAGUUAUGCCAAUCAUAGGGAUUGGUUUUGGAAUUUACAAUAUUGUGGAAGACUUUAAGAGGAAAGAUGCACUGGGGUAUAUUGAUGCCACCUUCGAUGCUGCAAUAGUUGCCUUGGAUUUUCUUGAAAUCGGUCAACCAGAACUUGCGCCAUUAAUUGUGCCAAUCAACCUGGCACUAAAUACCAUACGAAUGAUCUUUGAUGAUGUAUAUCUUGAUAUUCAGACUGAACUCAUUCAUUUACCACCAAAUGCUGGAGUUUUGGCAAAAAUAAGAGCAUUCUUUGUUGGCUUUGGGAAAGGACUUUUACACUUUAUCCUUGAUGUGGCAAGCUUUUUUUAUACCAUUCCUUAUCGUGAGAUUGAGGAGGGACGAAGGCUUGUUCAACAAAUUUCAGACCACCAAAAGUACUAUUAUUUUGCAGAGGUACAGGAUGGGAGAAAGGCCAUUGAUUUCACAGCUGGUGAGGAUUCUUGGAAUGGAGGGAGUAUCACUUUUUGUCUCUCAGACCAGGGAUCAUCUGACUUCUGCAUGGAUUAUUUUGUAUCCAGUGACGAAAACUCGGGAAAAAGGUGUUGGACUAUUGACACACAAGGAACUAAAGACAUUGUUCUAGGCAUUGGAGAAUCACAUAGAUUAACUUACAAAAACAUAGAUAUAAAAAUACUCCUAUUCAUAAAAGUUGGCUCUAUGUCUGUCGUUUCUGGUUAUGAGGCUUUGUCAGACACAAGAUUUGGAACAUAUUGGGGAAACAAUGAAGCAAAUAAUUUUUUUGCCGUUCAGAAGGCAGAUGACGACCAUGGCAUUGAAGUCAUGUUGAGCUAUUACUACAAGCUUUAUGGAAAAAAUGGUGAUGACGUGUUCUAUUUGGGACCUCAAAAAAGCUAUGUGGAGGGGUGUGGCGGCAAAGACACUUUCAUCAUUCCUGUCUAUGGAGGAAACACGAUUAUUAAUAACUAUGAUCCUUUCAAAUCAACAGAUGUCCUACUCCUUGGCGUUAACUACAGUCAGAUUUCUGUCAGUAAGUCAGGAAAUGAUAUUGUUUUAAGAUAUCUUGGUAACCAUAACAUUAGGAUUAUGAACUGGUUUUUGGGGGACGAAUAUCGCCACAUGAACAUGAUGUCAGAGGACGGAGUCCUGUUCGACAUCUCCACCACAGUGAUUUCCUCUGUCCAACUGAUUGCCAGAGGUAUCAAUAGAAUGUCUAAAACUCAUGGCCAGACAGUGAACGCUUCCGAACCACUUCUCCUUAGCGUUACUAAUAUCAUGGGGUCUCCUUACAAUGACAUACUAAUAGGAAAUAGACAGAAGAACCUGAUUGAUGGUGGAGGGGGUCAGGACCACCUGAGGGGAGGAGAAGGAGAGGACAUAUAUAUGGUUUAUGAGAAAAAACUGACAAAGAUAUUCAUUGAAAAUCACUCCUAUGACAAUGAAACAGACAUACUGGUGAUAGAGGCAAACCUUCAUGAAUUCAAAGUUAAAGUGGAUGGAAACCAUCUCAAACUGAUGCCUUUUGCUGAUCAAAGUUUUGAUGUGACCUUAAUGAACUGGUUCCGUUCAGAAGCGGACAGGCACUUGCUUGUUAUCACAAAGGAUCUGGUCACCUUCAGCAUCUCUGAGAACAAGGCAGCCUGUGAGCAGAUUGACUCAUUUAAGAGCAAAUGCCUCAUAAGUCAGAAUCUAGAUUACAGAAAGUCCACAGCUGCUCUACAUGUGGAUCUGCAGGAGGAUGAGGCUUUCCAAAGUGUAACAGAGGUGCGAGGCUCAGCCUUCAAUGACAUCAUCAAAGGGAACGUACAACGCAACACAAUUGUGCCAGGGCGAGGAACAGACUUUCUUCAGGGGCGAGGAGGGGAGGACUGGUAUGUUGUAACUCCAGGACAAGGCUUGAAAACCAUUGAGAACCACUCACCCGAUCUGGCUACUGAUGUACUUUUCCUGAGAGAAAAAUAUGAUUUCAUCAAUUGUAAAUGUAAUGGACCAGACAUUUAUCUCUCCAUAAAUGGCUCAGAGGAAGUCCUAUUGAAGGGCUGGUUUCACUCAAGGAACUCUCAACACCUCCACAUCCAAUCAGCUGAUGGAAUAACAUUUCAACUGGAGUCCAAUGCCAGCAGUUGCGAUGGCUCCUUAAAGCUGCCUCAGUCUGUGGAUUUCCGAAAUAGGGUGACUGGAGAAAUCAUGAAGAUGAAUAACAGCGACUUUGCCUCAGUGGUGGAAAUGUAUGGCUCAUCUGGUUUCGACAGCAUGGAAGGAAAUGACAAAAAUAACAUGCUGGAUCCUUUUACUGGAGGUGGUAGCAUGGUGGGAGGAGAUGGGAAGGAUACCUAUGUAGUGAACACUGGAUAUGGAACCAAUAUCAUGAUUGAAAACUUUGCAGAGGAUGAAAGAAUGGAUACUGUGUUGUUUGAGAUGGAUUUCCUUGGUGGUGGGCAACAACACCAACAUCUUAGCUUCCAGAGCUCUGAUGGAGUGCAUUUUUGGGUUAGAUCUCCAGUUGGAAACAAAACGCGUAGCUUUCAAAAGCCUUGGAUUGAAGCUUACAAAGUGACAAUGAAAGGAAAACUGGGAGACUGCCAAAUAGAUCUGAGUUCUCAAUCAAAUUUAUCAUUGGUUCACACUGUGCAGGGCUGUCCCCAUGACUCCAAUUACAUUACAGGUAAUGAGCAGGAGAACGUACUCUUCGGUGGCAUCAAGAUUGAUGUACUGGAUGGAGGGGCCGGCCAUGACACCUUGCUGGGGGGUCAGGGCAAUGACAUCCUGAUUGGGAACAUAGGAGAUGACACUCUUUAUGGAGAGGAAGGGAGUGACACCAUGAUGGGUGGCUCAGGCUCUGACACCUUCGUUCCCGGACCAGGGGCUGAUCUAGUGGACGGGGGCCCAGGGAGAGACACUGUGCUGUACCAGGGGGAUCAUGAGAGGGGUGAGGGCGUUUACGUCAACCUGCUGAGCGGAGAAUGCCGUCAGGCAGAUGCUGAGGGAGACGUGUUGAAGGAUGUUGAGAAUGUGAUUGGCACUAUCUACUCAGAUAUCUUGGUGUCUGGCUACGAACCUGCCCUACUAAAAGGCUCUGACGGCAACGACAUUCUAGUGUCCCUUGUGGGAGGAGAUUACUUGAUUGGAGGAGAGGGAAGUGACAUUUACAUGAUGGUUUCCCACCAUGGCUCAGUGAUCAUAGACAACUGUGCCACAGAUAAUGCCACGGACAUUGUGUACCUGCGCUCUCUGUCUGAGAAGUCUGUUGACUGUUCAUAUCUACUUGACGGAGUGUUUCUGACAUUUUAUGGACUCGGCGACACUACUGUUGACAUAGAGCUGCGAAACUGGGUCAACUUCAGUCAUGAGUGUGGCCAUCUUAUGCUGGUCCUCAAUGAGGGUGAAAUAUCUGUAGAUGAACUCAUGCAGGAGUGUGAGUUGAGAUAUCACAUGCAAAGAGUCGUGGCAACUGUUACAUUAAUCCUUCUACUUUGUGUUUUACCUGGCAUUAUUUUGGUAAUAGCUUUGGUCCAUAGAAAGAGGAAGAGGGGACAAGGAGGGAAAGACAGCAGUGAUAGAGCUACUGAAAUGGGGAAAGACACAAUAGAAGUGCGAGAAGAGGACGCACCUCUCCAGGGCUUAACUUCUCAACCUAAAGUAGAGGAAGAAGAAGGAAGAGAAGGAAACUGAAUGAGAACGAUAGACAUUCAGUAACUCAGGACAGGACCUCAGAGGAUGUAGAGGGGACAAGUGAGUGAACGACACCCUCAUAAAUAGUUUGGAGAACGAAAACAGGGGGGCAAAAGAUAUAACCACAUGGCAUAAAGUACUAACCAACUCCCUCCACUUAAUAUCAAGCAAAUGUAACCUGACCAAUGGUUUUAUGUUCAUCUCUUACUAAACACAGCUAUGAAUACCUAACUACAGUAUCAGAACUAAUCACUGUUCAUAAAUAAUCACUUCUUGUUAUUAUAUCCUUAUAUUAUACAAAAAUGGCUACUCUGUCUGGAAAUUUAAAAAUGGACAAAUAUCAUGUUUAAAUCAAUGAAAUGUUAAUAAAAUGCAAAGCUCAAUCUUUU
ensembl:lncRNA